rnacentral:tRNA from 1 species
UAGGAUUGGGUGUAUUGGUGGCACGGAGAAUUUUGAAUUCUUAGGAGUAGGUUCAAUUCCUAUAAUCCUAG